rnacentral:rRNA from 1 species
GAUGAACGCUGGCGGCGUGCUUAACACAUGCAAGUCGAACGAUGAAGCCCAGCUUGCUGGGUGGAUUAGUGGCGAACGGGUGAGUAACACGUGAGUAACCUGCCCUUGACUCUGGGAUAAGCCUGGGAAACUGGGUCUAAUACUGGAUAUGACUUCUCAUCGCAUGGUGGGGGGUGGAAAGAUUUAUUGGUCUUGGAUGGACUCGCGGCCUAUCAGCUUGUUGGUGAGGUAAUGGCUCACCAAGGCGACGGCGGGUAGCCGGCCUGAGAGGGUGACCGGCCACAAUGGGACUGAGACACGGCCCAGACUCCUACGGGAGGCAGCAGUGGGGAAUAGUGCACAAUGGGCGCAAGCCUGAUGCAGCGACGCCGCGUGGGGGAUGACGGCCUUCGGGUUGGAAACCUCUUUCAGCAGGGAAGAAGCGAGAGUGACGGUACCUGCAGAAGAAGCGCCGGCUAACUACGUG